rnacentral:lncRNA from 1 species
GAGGAAUUGUGAUGUAAAUAGCACGGUAUGUCUGCACAGUGGAGGACAGGGGAGGCUUCCAGUCAGACAGCACAGCACACGCAAAGGCACAGCAUGACCAAGGAGAAGCAGGACUGUGCAGAUGGGACAUGAGGAAGAGAUUCAAAGUCAGGCAGAUUAAGGGAAUACCAUGAAGGGACUCUUUGGGAUGCAAAGUCAUAAACUUGACAUUCUUUGUAACAGAACUGUAUGUAUGGCAUGCUGCUGGAUUGCGAGGCAAUGGCUAUGUUAAAGGGACUAUCCCUGUGCCCGCUACAUUGUCAUUUGAAUAGAUCUACAAUACGGUUUGGGACCACCAACCUCUCUGUUUUAAGCUCGAUGGCCGUGGUGCGAAGUAGAGUUGGUUGCUAUGAAAUAGAACUUUACAUUGUGGGAUCUGCUUUCAGGGAAAGCAAAGACUGGAGAUGGAAAUUGCUGCUACUGACGGUGUGGAUGUGAGGCUUGUGGAUUGCAGUACUAAGGACCAGGCAAGUAACAACUUCUAUGCUGCGUCGGCUCAGAGCUUCUGUGUCUACCUUCACAGACUGCAUAGUUCUUUUCCAAAAUUCCAACAUAGCUAGGGAGGAAUCACAAUUGUGGCAGAAGAGCAAAGGGAUGUCUUACAUGGUGGCAGGCAAAAAGGGCUUGUGCAGGGGAGCUCCCAUUUAUAAAACCAUCAGAUCUUGUGAAACUUAC